rnacentral:rRNA from 8 species
AAAUUGAAGAGUUUGAUCAUGGCUCAGAUUGAACGCUGGCGGCAGGCCUAACACAUGCAAGUCGAACGGUAACAGGAAGCAGCUUGCUGCUUUGCUGACGAGUGGCGGACGGGUGAGUAAUGUCUGGGAAACUGCCUGAUGGAGGGGGAUAACUACUGGAAACGGUGGCUAAUACCGCAUAACGUCGCAAGACCAAAGAGGGGGACCUUCGGGCCUCUUGCCAUCAGAUGUGCCCAGAUGGGAUUAGCUUGUUGGUGAGGUAACGGCUCACCAAGGCGACGAUCCCUAGCUGGUCUGAGAGGAUGACCAGCCACACUGGAACUGAGACACGGUCCAGACUCCUACGGGAGGCAGCAGUGGGGAAUAUUGCACAAUGGGCGCAAGCCUGAUGCAGCCAUGCCGCGUGUAUGAAGAAGGCCUUCGGGUUGUAAAGUACUUUCAGCGGGGAGGAAGGUGUUGUGGUUAAUAACCACAGCAAUUGACGUUACCCGCAGAAGAAGCACCGGCUAACUCCGUGCCAGCAGCCGCGGUAAUACGGAGGGUGCAAGCGUUAAUCGGAAUUACUGGGCGUAAAGCGCACGCAGGCGGUCUGUCAAGUCGGAUGUGAAAUCCCCGGGCUCAACCUGGGAACUGCAUUCGAAACUGGCAGGCUUGAGUCUUGUAGAGGGGGGUAGAAUUCCAGGUGUAGCGGUGAAAUGCGUAGAGAUCUGGAGGAAUACCGGUGGCGAAGGCGGCCCCCUGGACAAAGACUGACGCUCAGGUGCGAAAGCGUGGGGAGCAAACAGGAUUAGAUACCCUGGUAGUCCACGCCGUAAACGAUGUCUACUUGGAGGUUGUGCCCUUGAGGCGUGGCUUCCGGAGCUAACGCGUUAAGUAGACCGCCUGGGGAGUACGGCCGCAAGGUUAAAACUCAAAUGAAUUGACGGGGGCCCGCACAAGCGGUGGAGCAUGUGGUUUAAUUCGAUGCAACGCGAAGAACCUUACCUGGUCUUGACAUCCACAGAACUUUCCAGAGAUGGACUGGUGCCUUCGGGAACUGUGAGACAGGUGCUGCAUGGCUGUCGUCAGCUCGUGUUGUGAAAUGUUGGGUUAAGUCCCGCAACGAGCGCAACCCUUAUCCUUUGUUGCCAGCGAUUAGGUCGGGAACUCAAAGGAGACUGCCAGUGAUAAACUGGAGGAAGGUGGGGAUGACGUCAAGUCAUCAUGGCCCUUACGACCAGGGCUACACACGUGCUACAAUGGCGCAUACAAAGAGAAGCGACCUCGCGAGAGCAAGCGGACCUCAUAAAGUGCGUCGUAGUCCGGAUUGGAGUCUGCAACUCGACUCCAUGAAGUCGGAAUCGCUAGUAAUCGUGGAUCAGAAUGCCACGGUGAAUACGUUCCCGGGCCUUGUACACACCGCCCGUCACACCAUGGGAGUGGGUUGCAAAAGAAGUAGGUAGCUUAACCUUCGGGAGGGCGCUUACCACUUUGUGAUUCAUGACUGGGGUGAAGUCGUAACAAGGUAACCGUAGGGGAACCUGCGGUUGGAUCACCUCCUUA